rnacentral:rRNA from 1 species
GUUGGUGGUGAUAGCGCUAGGGUCACGCCCGGUCCCAUUUCGAACCCGGUAGCUAAGCUUAGCCGCGCCGAUGGUACUGCAUCCGGGAGGAUGUGGGAGAGUAGGUUACUGCCAACA